AAGAGGCAGCUGGAGGUCUGUUGUUCAUUCAUCAAGCCAACAUUCUACGAGGCUCCACAUUUAAAGUGAGAGCAGAAACAGACACGUCUCUUAUGUGUGGCCAAAAGGAAGCACUGCUUCUCAACAGUCACUCAAAUAAACCCACGUAUUGGUCUCUCACCGUUGCCUGGCUCAGCAUUCGCCACAUAGAUGACCCCUUCCACAACCUGGCACACUUGCUGCACCUGGGGAGCCGGCCUGAAGACUGGGUCCCCCGAGUCAUUGCUCCCUAUUAAAGUGAAGAGUUUCCCACUCAUGUACUGCUUCUGUAGUUUGGCACGCUCCCUCUCUGCUCUGCACACAAACACCAAACGACCAUCUAUCACUCUGUACAUACCGUUCAAGGUAGGGAAUGCUUACUUGUUUGUCGAAUAUAGUGUAAAGAUGUUGAACUUGUGCUGGUUGUUGAACAUGUAACUGAUGCCAGAGCCGAUCACUGAAGGUCCUAAAGGACGGAAAAAAAAGUUGCUUGAGUUGGAGAAGAGUGGGGGUGACGCUUAAAAAAGUAAAGACUGCCAUCUUCUGGUGGACGAAGCAUCCUUGCAAAGCACAGUGCAAGGCAUUGCAUCAUUCAUGAACCUCAUUUCACAUAGCUCUUUGGCCACAAGAUGGCGCCAAACCAAGAUUUGGUUUUAGCCUGAGG